rnacentral:rRNA from 1 species
UACGUAGGUGGCAAGCGUUGUCCGGAUUUAUUGGGCGUAAAGCGCGCGCAGGCGGUGCGGUAAGUCUCUGGUGAAAGCGCUCGGCUUAACUGGGCGAGGGCCGGGGAGACUGCCACGCUGGAGGGGAGCAGAGGCGAGUGGAAUUCCGGGUGUAGUGGUGAAAUGCGUAGAGAUCGGGAGGAACACCAGUGGCGAAGGCGGCCGGCUGGGGGUGACCUGACGCUGAGGCGCGAAAGCGUGGGGAGCGAACCGG